rnacentral:rRNA from 1 species
UACGAAGGGGGCUAGCGUUGUUCGGAAUUACUGGGCGUAAAGCGCACGUAGGCGGAUAUUUAAGUCAGGGGUGAAAUCCCGCAGCUCAACUGCGGAACUGCCUUUGAUACUGGGUAUCUCGAGUAUGGAAGAGGUGAGUGGAAUUCCGAGUGUAGAGGUGAAAUUCGUAGAUAUUCGGAGGAACACCAGUGGCGAAGGCGGCUCACUGGCUCGAUACUGACGCUGAGGUGCGAAAGCGUGGGGAGCAAACAGG